GGGAGAUGGCAUGCGUGGAGGUAUCGAGCCAGACAUGUCGUUAGAGAGGUUAUAGAAGAGAACCCGAUGAGGGGAAAGAGGGGAGAUGGCAUGCUGGAGGUGUAUGAGAGACAGGAAAAGGGAGGAGGAGAGAGAAGAGUAAGCUUUUUAAAGCAGAGUCUAAUGUUUAAAAUGUUUUUAUUGUUGCUAAAAAUAAAUGGAUAAAAAAGAUAAAACUGUUCACCCCCCCCCCGCCCCCCCCCCCCCCCCCCCCCCCCCCCCCCCGCCCCCCCCCCGUCCCCCCCCCCCCCCCCCCCCCCCCCCUUCCCCCCCCACCACCCCCCCCCCCCCCCCCCCCCCUUACCUUAUUACAGUAUGUUGUUGCAGUGAUAUCUCCCUAUACAUAUGUUUUCCCAUGCUAUCAUUCCCUAUACUAGUAUUUUUUGUCCCAGUCAUUCAUACUAUACAGUAUGUUGUCCCAGUGAUAUCAUUCCUAUACAGUAUGUUGUCCCCAGUGAUAUCAUACCUAUACAGUAUGUUGUCCCAGGGAUAUCAUUAUUCUUCUUACCUUCUCAUAUUUCCCUCUAAUGGGCAGUGAGUUCUUUGACACGCCCACCUCAGUUCUGUCUUUGUGGUAGAUCUUGAUGUGUUCCUCCUCAUGUCCAUGCUCUCUCUUCAUGGACUGCAUGCUGGAGAAGAUGUCCUUCCUACUGCUGCCUGGGCCGCUACCCGCUUUGGCCUCUUUCCUGGUGGGGAUCAUUAUAAAGGUUUUCAUUCAGUUUUCAAGUCUUUUGAUAACCAAUCAAGUCAAUUGAUAACCUGUUCUCCUGAGCGAUAACAGCUUGUUAUGAAAAUUAUUUAUAUUUGAGUUUGCAAGAAAGGUAUUUCACUGUACUGAGGCAUGUGAUAUUAAAACUUGAAACAAAUGAAAAUGAUUUUGAUUUCAUCAAGCUACAUCUAUAUUGCAAUAGCCUACUUCCCAAAUAUAGUCAAAACCUCCUACCAGCUCACUGUGUGUGGCACCCACCUGGCAGUAGCACUAACACCACUAUGGAAUCACAGGUGAUGUUAUUACCCACGAGCAUCAUUAAUGCCUCCUAUUUGAAACAGACAACUCUUUACUGCUUUGUCUGCACUUUAUGGAAUACAUAGACUCUCUACUAUAAAACCCAUCUGGGUGAUGAAACACGGCAGCCAUUUUGUGCCUAUCAGAGAGUUCACUAACCUGGUGAUGUUGAUGAAACACGGCAGCCAUUUUGUGCCUAUCAGAGAGUUCACUAACCUGGUGACGUUGAUGAAACACAGCAGCCAUUUUGUGCCUAUCAGAGAGUUCACUAACCUGGUGAUGUUGAUGAAACACGGCAGCCAUUUUAAGAGCAUCAGAGAGUUCACUAACCUGGUGACGUUGAUGAAACACGGCAGCCAUUUUAAGAGCAUCAGAGAGCUCACUAACCUGGUAAUGUUGAGGUAGUUGAGCAACUCUCUCUGGUUGAAACCUUUCUUUAAUAUCCUGUUGGUCUGCCUGGGUCCCACCUGGGGCACGGCCCGGCUGCCUUUAGCUGGGGACGCGUCUGGGCGCUCCACUAGGCUGCCUACACUACCCAUACUGAACCGGUCCAAUAGGGCUGUGGACCGGGUAGGGGUCGAGAUGGGAUCACGGAAUGUCUUGCUGGGGUUGCGGGUCAGAGGAAGGGUUUGGACCGAUGUUGCCAUUGGUUACAGGACAGGGUGGCCCCGCGGGGAACUCUUGAGGUAGAGGAGAGAAGAGGAAGAACGAGGUUGAACAAUAGAGAAUGGAUAUAAACCAACUGUCAUCUGAUUCAGAACCCUGUAAAAUAUCAUAAACCAUUAUCACCAUGACAACUUCCUAUUCACCUUCUAACUGUACUCUGUAAUAUCUUAUGUCUGUAAUAUCUUAUCUCUGUAAUAUCUUAUCUCUUUGACAAUAAACCAUCUUAUCCAAGACCAAGUUGUUUACAGUAUGUCUUCAGCUGUCUGUCAGUCUGUCUGUCAGUCUGCCUGUCUGUCGGUCCCAUUCCCUCUGUCUUCCUCAGUAUUUCCCCGUAGCCUUUCCCCUAGUUACCAGUCUGUUGUUGAUGUGCAUUCCAGUCAUACUCCUCCUGUAUUUUUCCCUGUCUGGCUUCAUAUCUCCUCUCUCAGAGCGUGACUUGACAUGUGGCUCCUCUGUGAUCAGCUGUGUUUGUGUGUGUGUGUCCCGAGGCAGUUUUGUGCAGUCAGUGACCCACCUAAAACCUUUAGAAUAAACCCACCUAAGCUGUGAUCUAGUCUUAAUAAAUGAGUCCCAUAGUGCAAAGCCACACAGCAACACAACCGUAUGGUUCAACCACACUCAACUACUAGCUUCUCAAAGAACCAAAACACUUUCCUAGUUAUUAACACUUCUAAAUCCCAAAUAAUGCAUCAACCCCCUGCCAGAGACACCUCAUGCAUUUUUAAAAUUAUAAAAAUGAGAAGUAAGCUAAAAGAGAAGAUCACAGAUGUAGAGUGUAGUAUGUAUGUGUAGUGUGUGGGUAGAGUGUCUGUGUGUGUGUGUGUGUGUGAGAGCUUCUUGGGGAAGAGGAGCAGAUAACAUAUGCACCACCAGAAGCCUGUUAUGUAACUGUGUGUGUGUGUGUGUGUGUGCGUGUGUGGAUUCACCCUCCGUGAUGCUACUGACUACAGCUAAUCCUAAUUGUCUGAUAAAGAGGCAGAGUGCUUUGAAUCAGGCAGCAGGGACAGACGAGGAUGUUCCUUUAUAAUCAGGCAGCAGGGACAGACGAGGAUGUUCCUUUAUAAUCAGGCAGCAGGGACAGACAAGGAUGUUCCUUUAUAAUCAGGCAGCAGGGACAGACGAGGAUGUUCCUUUUGUUAUAGAGCAAAAGGAUUGGAG
ensembl:lncRNA